rnacentral:rRNA from 1 species
CCUACGGGUGGCAGCAGUGGGGAAUAUUGCACAAUGGGCGCAAGCCUGAUGCAGCGACGCCGCGUGAGCGAUGAAGGCCUUCGGGUCGUAAAGCUCUGUUGUCAGGGAAGAACAAGUACCGAAGGAAAUGGCGGUACCUUGACGGUACCUGACGAGAAAGCCACGGCUAACUACGUGCCAGCAGCCGCGGUAAUACGUAGGUGGCAAGCGUUGUCCGGAAUUAUUGGGCGUAAAGCGCGCGCAGGCGGUUCCUUAAGUCUGAUGUGAAAUCUUGCGGCUCAACCGCAAGCGGUCAUUGGAAACUGGGGAACUUGAGUGCAGAAGAGGAAAGCGGAAUUCCACGUGUAGCGGUGAAAUGCGUAGAGAUGUGGAGGAACACCAGUCGCGAAGGCGGCUUUCUGGUCUGUAACUGACGCUGAGGCGCGAAAGCGUGGGGAGCAAACAGGAUUAGAUACCCGAGUAGUC